GGUGGCCAUAGCGUCGGUGUCCCACCCGAUCCCAUCCCGAACUCGGCCGUGAAACCCGACUGCGCCAAUGGUACUACUGCUCAAGCAGUGGAAGAGUAGGGCGUCGCC
rnacentral:rRNA from 1 species